GACGAACGCUGGCGGCGUGCUUAACACAUGCAAGUCGAACGGAAAGGCCUGCUUUCCCUUGUGGAUUGCGGGUACUCGAGUGGCGAACGGGUGAGUAACACGUGAGUGAUCUGCCCCCAACUUGGGUAUAAGCCUGGGAAACUGGGUCUAAUUCCCGAUAGGACUGCAGGGUGGUGCCUGUGGUGGAAAACGAUUUUCUAGUGGUUGGGGAUGAGCUCGCGGCCUAUCAGCUUGUUGGUGGGGUAAUGGCCUACCAAGGCGGCGACGGGUAGCCGGCCUGGGAGGGUGGACGGCCACAUUGGGACUGAGAUACGGCCCAGACUCCUACGGGAGGCAGCAGUGGGGAAUAUUGCACAAUGGGCGGAAGCCUGAGGCAGCGACGCCGCGUGGGGGAUGACGGCCUUCGGGUGGUAAACUCCUUUCGACCGCGAGGAAGCCACCUGGUUGGAAGGGUGGUGACGGUAGUGGUAGAAGAAGCACCGGCUAACUACGUG
rnacentral:rRNA from 1 species